rnacentral:rRNA from 1 species
UAGAGUUUUGAUCCUGGCUCAGAGCGAACGCUGGCGGCAGGCUUAACACAUGCAAGUCGAACGGGCUUCUUCGGAAGUCAGUGGCAGACGGGUGAGUAACACGUGGGAACGUGCCCUUCGGUUCGGAAUAACUCAGGGAAACUUGAGCUAAUACCGGAUACGCCCUUAUGGGGAAAGGUUUACUGCCGAAGGAUCGGCCCGCGUCUGAUUAGCUUGUUGGUGGGGUAACGGCCUACCAAGGCGACGAUCAGUAGCUGGUCUGAGAGGAUGAUCAGCCACACUGGGACUGAGACACGGCCCAGACUCCUACGGGAGGCAGCAGUGGGGAAUAUUGGACAAUGGGCGCAAGCCUGAUCCAGCCAUGCCGCGUGAGUGAUGAAGGCCUUAGGGUUGUAAAGCUCUUUUGUCCGGGACGAUAAUGACGGUACCGGAAGAAUAAGCCCCGGCUAACUUCGUGCCAGCAGCCGCGGUAAUACGAAGGGGGCUAGCGUUGCUCGGAAUCACUGGGCGUAAAGGGCGCGUAGGCGGCCGAUUAAGUCGGGGGUGAAAGCCUGUGGCUCAACCACAGAAUUGCCUUCGAACUGGUUGGCUUGAGACCGGAAGAGGACAGCGGAGAGGUAGAGAAUUGUAGAUAUUCGCAAGAACACCAGUGCGAAGGCGGCUGCCCGACGAGGCGGAAAGA